AGCGAACGCUGGCGGCAGGCCUAACACAUGCAAGUCGAACGAACCUUUCGGGGUUAGUGGCGGAUGGGUGAGUAACACGUGGGAACGUGCCUUUCGGUUCGGAAUAACUCAGGGAAACUCGUGCUAAUACCGAAUGUGCCCUUCGGGGGAAAGAUUUAUCGCCUUUGGAGCGGCCCGCGUCUGAUUAGCUAGUUGGUUGAGGUAAUGGCUCACCAAGGCGACGAUCAGUAGCUGGUCUGAGAGGAUGAUCAGCCACAUUGGGACUGAGACACGGCCCAAACUCCUACGGGAGGCAGCAGUGGGGAAUCUUGCACAAUGGGCGAAAGCCUGACGCAGCCAUGCCGCGUGAAUGAUGAAGGUCUUAGGAUUGUAAAAUUCUUUCACCGGGGACGAUAAUGACGGUACCCGGAGAAGAAGCCCCGGCUAACUUCGUG
rnacentral:rRNA from 1 species